rnacentral:rRNA from 2 species
UGGGGAAUAUUGGGCAAUGGGCGCAAGCCUGACCCAGCAACGCCGCGUGAAGGAAGAAGGCUUUCGGGUUGUAAACUUCUUUUAAGAGGGAAGAGCAGAAGACGGUACCUCUAGAAUAAGCCACGGCUAACUACGUGCCAGCAGCCGCGGUAAUACGUAGGUGGCAAGCGUUGUCCGGAUUUACUGGGUGUAAAGGGCGUGCAGCCGGGUCUGCAAGUCAGAUGUGAAAUCCAUGGGCUCAACCCAUGAACUGCAUUUGAAACUGUAGAUCUUGAGUGUCGGAGGGGCAAUCGGAAUUCCUAGUGUAGCGGUGAAAUGCGUAGAUAUUAGGAGGAACACCAGUGGCGAAGGCGGAUUGCUGGACGAUAACUGACGGUGAGGCGCGAAAGUGUGGGGAGCAAACAGG